rnacentral:rRNA from 1 species
UACGUAGGUGGCAAGCGUUAUCCGGAUUUAUUGGGUUUAAAGGGAGCGUAGGUGGAUUGUUAAGUCAGUUGUGAAAGUUUGCGGCUCAACCGUAAAAUUGCAGUUGAAACUGGCAGUCUUGAGUACAGUAGAGGUGGGCGGAAUUCGUGGUGUAGCGGUGAAAUGCUUAGAUAUCACGAAGAACUCCGAUUGCGAAGGCAGCUCACUGGACUGCAACUGACACUGAGGCUUGAAAGUGUGGGUAUCAAACAGG